GUAAAAUAGCGUGUCUAUAAUAUCACAUUUGUUACUAACCUCUAAGGAAGCCUCAACUUGUUCUUCAAGAAAUGAGCGGAAUCACUAGAAAAACCUUUUCUUUGUCCCAUUACACGUGAGCUGGAAGUAUUCCCAAAGAUCCCUCGGACUUGUGUAGUCCAGCAAUUCAUUCUCCAAACGAAUAAAGCCAGUGCAGUAAAGACAACUCGCUGCCCAGCCAUUGGAUACUCCGAUCAAACAUGUCAGAGAUUCCAGUUUGUGUCAUCAGUUUCUCCCUGCAGUUACCCUGUCAAAGGGAAUUCAACCUGUAUGGCAUGAUGUGUUUUCAAUAGAGCCUGCUUUGGUUUUCCAUGGUUUGCUACUUGGUAGGUACUUACCAAUUAGUCUUCGUUUGUUUCUAUCAAGAGUCGAAUUCAGUCACGUCAGAUGUUGGACUUGGGAAAGCGCCUAUUAAGGACGGCAGUGCCAGCUGGGGAAGGUCUUGCAUCUGGCUAUGUGCUCCUGUCACCAAAGCCACUCCUAAGGCUGCACCAGGGCAGCAGUUUGCAGGGUGAUUGAAUGAACCACAUAUAGCACUGGGGAGAAAUGGAAAUCUUUUUUAAGGUCACCAGUAAUAUCACAGAGACAACACCCAGGCUGUGUGAAGACUCAUGAUUUCUGAUGAUGAUAAUAUCCCAAUGGUGGUCGGAAACAUCUAUUUGGUGUGGAUGAUGAUAACUUAUGUUCUACUGGGUGAUGUUGUAAAUGGGGAAGCUGGAGCAUUCCUGAAAGGCAAAACCUGAAAUGGGGAAUGAAAACAAUCUCUUCUAAUGGCAAAUAUAGCGAGUGGGAUGGAGAAAGGAAAUAAAUACUCAACCUGUUCCUGGAAUUGUUUUCAGAUUUUCAUCGUUUUGCGCUUAAUCUUAACUGACGAAGUGGUCUGGCUGGCAAACUGGUCACCCUGAUCCAGGAAGAACCAUACAUAAAGAACAAUGUCUUCAGCUAAAAAAUAAGGGGAAAAAAUGGCAUACUUUUGGACAAGAAGGCGAUGUCAGAGUGUUAUUUAACAGGGAAGCAGAAUGAAAAUGUGGUCUGAGACAAGAAGACAGAAAGUAGCCAAGCUGAAAUGGUUACAAGGAAGAAAAACUUGAACACUGUAGAUUGAAGCUAUAAAAUGACAAAAAAAUAAAAAAUAGCAGUCUGGGAAGGAAAGGAACAGAUGUCCCAUUUGCUGUUCAAUAAGUUCACUUCCUUGGCUUCUAAUCACUACUUUUCAUAUUCUCAAGCACUAACUCACUGCAUGUACCAUCAAAAUAAUCAACUCCUAGCAUACACUGUGUGUUUUAGAUAACCCACCUGUAGAUGCACACUAUGGUGUGGAAAAAAAUAUAUAUAUUAAUAAAAUGUGUGAGUACCAUUGUUUACAUCAGUUUUAAAUUUCUAUGAAUACAGAAUAUAUGUUUGCUGAUGUGGAAUUGACCUCUAGCAGAAGCAUGGAAUGAUAUGAACCCAGUGAUGUUUUUGGUUUUUUUAAUAUAGCAUCAAAUACUUGGAUUUCAAUUCUUUUUCAACAUUGGAAAAAACAUUUUAAUGAAAGAGUUUCCAUUGCCUGAACUCGCUUCAUUUUUGCUUCUUGAAUAGCUUUAAAGAAGUAACGUUUGCGUAAGCCAUUGUUAGUGAUGAGGUAGGAAUUAAGGAAUUUGAAGUAAAUGUGCAUCGUUUCUGGUUUGCAGUAUAAAAUUACAUGUGAAUAAAAGACUAUAUUUGCAGGAACUAUUUGUAUCUAGCCAUAAGAAUCUCUGCAACUUUGUGCUUCACUGUAUGGUGUGGGAGAGAAAGCUUUGCAUCCUGAAAGCAGUUCAGGUAACACUGGAUGAAAUAGAUGUCCAGAUCAGUAGAGACAACAAAUAUAAUGAAAUGCAACGGAUUAUACCAAUACAAUAUAAAGAUGAUGUAUACCUGAACAAGGCAAGUUCUAGAAUCUCUCUGUAUUUUCUGGGUCUCCAACUCAGGGUAGUUUCAGUAGGCAGCACAGUCUUUAUGCUCAAACUGCAAGCUACUGUUGGGACCUCUUCCUAAACAGUUCUUUGCUCAAGGCAAAUGAGCUGCUGUGCUGUGUUGUUGUAUGUUGCAAAUGUCUCUUUUUUUUCCUCUAGUCCCAAAUAACAUUCCCUUUCUAAAAUUAAUUAAGCCCAGUGAUUUAGCUUCACUUACGUUAUUAACAUAUUUGCUCAAGCAGUACAUUUUGUGACUUGCUUCGCUUAG
ensembl:lncRNA